AAUUCCUUUCUCAACUUAGGCUAAAAUAGUUUCUUGACUUGACUAAACAAAUUCAACAUUUUUCCUGUAAUAGCUACAUCAACGAUAAUACAAUUAUCGAGAAAUUCCUAAUGAAUCGUCUGGCGAGAUAUUGCCGAAAACCUGGAUCAUCAGAUUCAUAAACACUGCAAGGUAUUAUAAAAUUCCUAAAACUUUGCUAAAACUCAC
rnacentral:lncRNA from 1 species